rnacentral:rRNA from 1 species
UACGUAGGGGGCGAGCGUUGUCCGGAUUUAUUGGGCGUAAAGAGCUCGUAGGCGGCUUGGCAAGUCGGGUGUGAAACCUCCAGGCUCAACCUGGAGACGCCACUCGAUACUGCCAUGGCUAGAGUCCGGUAGGGGACCACGGAAUUCCUGGUGUAGCGGUGAAAUGCGCAGAUAUCGGGAGGAACACCGGUGGCGAAGGCGGUUCUCUGGGCCUUACCUGACGCUGAGGAGCGAAAGCGUGGGGAGCGAACAGG